rnacentral:rRNA from 1 species
GAUGAACGCUGGCGGCGUGCCUAAUACAUGCAAGUCGAGCGAAGCGGGGACGGGUGAGUAACACGUGGAUAACCUCCUAUAAGACUGGGAUAACUUCGGGAAACCGGAGCUAAACCGGAUACUUAUAGUUGGAUCCGCGCUGCAUUAGCUAGUUGGUAAGUUAACGACUUACCAAGGCAACAAUACAUAGCCGACCUUGGAGGGUGAUCGGCAAUGCUGGAACGUGGACACGGUCCAGACUCGUACGGUAGGCAGCAGUAGGGAAUCUUCCGGAAUGGGCAAAAGCCUGACGGAGCGACGCCGCGUGAGUAAUGAAGGUCUUCGGAUCGUAAAACUCUGUUAUUAGGGAAGCGGUACCUAAUCAGAAAGCCACGGCUAACUACGUGCCAGCCGCCGCGGUAAUUC